rnacentral:lncRNA from 1 species
AGCCCAUCCAUAUCCAGAUAAGAGAGGAGGCUGAACAAGUAUUUUUGGCAUAGAAAAGAAAUCAGGAACACUUCCUUUUUGUCGCACAUAAUAGGUGCCUUCACAAGGAGCCAAUGUGUGGAAGGAUAGGGAUAGGGUUUUAGGUUUAAAUUCUAACCUUUUGAAUUCAGUUUAAAACCAACCUAGUCCCAUCACUAAUGGGUGACAAAAAAAAGGUUUUGGCAUAGAUUUUUCAGCACACAAACCAAUUUGUGUGAUGAAAUAAGGUGUGG